AUCAGAUUGUCUCAGAUUAUUAUUAUCAAUUUGGCGGACUAUUCCAGUGACACCGUUUGCGAUUUAUCAAUAAUCAAGCGACGUGAUUGAACCAGACAUGAACAUUAUAACAUGCUUUACAUGUGAAGAAUACAUAAUUGAGUUUAAAUCAAGGAGAUUUCGCUAAAUUUUGUACGGCUGUUUCCUUCACUCUCGUCGAUCUUAAGUUUCUUGUUCAGCAGAGUUUUAGCUCAACACUGUAGCCGCUAAGAGCAACGCUUGCAAAGGGACUGUCAAUGCUAUUAUUGAAUCAAAAGACGACUGCCAGCCGACACAUGGGAAAAAGGACUUGUGAUGGAAGUUUUCUUGGAACAGGUUGACAACAGAGUUACAGUAACGGAUGCUUUUUCAAAUAAGAUUCUAGUGGACACAAAAUCUCUCAUCAAGCAUUCCUACCAAGAAACACUUGACAAUGCCAGCAAUGGAAAAUGGAUAUUAUGUCUAAAAUAUCUUGGAGAUGAUAAAGUGUUAGACACUCUGAAAACAAACUGGCUUCAGGAUGUUAUUACUUGAUUUGAUUAUUAUUGUCAUUAAUAUUAUUAUUGUUUUGAGGUUGUAUUUUUAAAACAGAUAAUGUUGCAUUUGCUGUAAACUUAAAGGCACUACAUUGUUUCACUCUCUAUGAAGGUAAAAUGUUACCCUCUUUUUUAACUGCUUUUUGUCAAAUUUUUUAACAUAGAUUUUUUACCCUUUUUCAUCUUUAAUACCUCUUCUGAGUGAUAUUCUUUCAGUUACCUUUGGUUUGCAGUCAGUUAAUGAUAUAAUAAUGGCAGACCUAGUGUCCAGCAACACAUUACUAAUAUCCACUACAUGUCAUUGGACUUACCCCUAACAUUGUACUUUUCUUGAAAAAUAAACAGUCUUUGUAAAAGAGACCUUAAGCAAACCACCAUGGCAACAGCAACAAAAGCAUGGCUGGACAAAAGAUUCAGUGAGCACACAAAUAGCUCAGUAUGUACGUUUUCAAAUUUUAUUUACUUGUUAUCUAUUCUCUGAAACAAAACAACAUAAAUCACUAAAAUUUGCAUGGAGUAAGAACAGAACCUCUGAUGGCAAAUUAUUUACCUGUCAUUGUUUAGAACUAAACCCUGCUCACUUUUCUUAUGGCAAAGAUGAUGACUUGCUUAGUUAGAGAGGGUAAUCACAUCCACCAUCCAUUUAGUGGACAUUUUUGUCAGCUUGCAAUCCUGAUUGCUUAAGAUCCAUAAAGAUUUCUGUGGAUUGACUCUUGUGUUUACAAAUUACUUCUAAUCACAAUCAUCUUCUCUUCCUGGUAAACUCCAAUUUUCAAAUUCUUGCUGGACAUAAUAACUGUUCACUCUCCACUUAGCUGGCUUUUUUUCUAAUCAACAUUAGUUGAAGACUGAAGAACAAACCCUUUUACAUUUAAGUUUUUAAAAAACACUUUUUUAUUUUAAUUGUCUUUAUUUGUGGGAAUUUAAGAAGCAAGUUUUACAUUAGUUUUGAAAGACUAAAUAUUCAUUUCACAAUCAGGUAACCCACAACUUAUACUCUCUUAGAAGUGUAGGAAAUUUGCGAGGCACCUCCCAUUUUAAAUUUUUGUGUUGUGAAGUCCUCGCCAAAGUAAUGUGUAUUUUUUAUAAGGAAAAAUCCAGUCUGAAAUAUAUUUCUGAUCAAUUUUUCUUUCCAAUUGUAGUUUAUUUUAUUGGAAAAUACUGUUUGAUAAUUUCUAAAUUGAGAAACAUAUUUGGCUUUUUUGAGUCUACAACAUUUCAAUUGAUAGUAUAGUUACAGCAUCAAAAGCAGAGAUGAUGGACUUAACUAGAAAAGAAGGUUUUUGAAAUAAGCUUUUAUGAAGUGUUAAACAGGGCAACAAGAUUUAAAUUGAACUUCCUUGCAAGAAUUGUGUGUUUUCACCCCAUUGUCUCUCCUUAUGUUAUUAGCUAGAAGUUGUUCAGAUUGCAUUCAAUUAUUUUUUCCCAUCUCUAAGAUGAUAGUAUAAAUUCUCUGUACUGUUCGCUACACAGUUCUUGGAAUUUUAGCUUUCAGAAUUUGGUGUUAGAUCAAGCAAAUACCCACAGAUGUUAACUAUUAUUUUUCUGAUCACCUUUCUGCUAAAUAAUGCAUUGUAUUGUAAGUAGAAAUAACUUAUUGAACACCUCUGGGAGUGAAAAGGUUUUUUUGUGGGGCAGGGGGGAGGGGGGUUAACCUAAAUAUAUAAUUUCCAGUUUUUAUGUUGACACAGUCAUUCUGUUACUGUAACAUGCAUUGAA